CAAUACUUUGGUGGCGACCGGCGCACGGGUGCGUAACGCGUAUGUAACCUACCUAUAACAGGGGCAUAACACUGAGAAAUUGGUACUAAUUCCCCAUAAUAUUCGGAGAGGCAUCUCUCCGGGUUGAAAACUCCGGUGGUUAUAGAUGGACAUGCGUUGUAUUAGCUAGUUGGUGAGGUAACGGCUCACCAAGGCAACGAUACAUAGGGGGACUGAGAGGUUAACCCCCCACACUGGUACUGAGACACGGACCAGACUCCUACGGGAGGCAGCAGUGAGGAAUAUUGGUCAAUGGACGCAAGUCUGAACCAGCCAUGCCGCGUGCAGGAAGACGGCUCUAUGAGUUGUAAACUGCUUUUGUACGAGGGUAAACUCACCUACGUGUAGGUGACUGAAAGUAUCGUACGAAUAAGGAUCGGCUAACUCCGUGCCAGCAGCCGCGGUAAUACGGAGGAUUCAAGCGUUAUCCGGAUUUAUUGGGUUUAAAGGGUGCGUAGGCGGUUUGAUAAGUUAGAGGUGAAAUCCCGGGGCUUAACUCCGGAACUGCCUCUAAUACUGUUAGACUAGAGAGUAGUUGCGGUAGGCGGAAUGUAUGGUGUAGCGGUGAAAUGCUUAGAGAUCAUACAGAACACCGAUUGCGAAGGCAGCUUACCAAACUAUAUCUGACGUUGAGGCACGAAGCGUGGGGAGCAAA
rnacentral:rRNA from 1 species